rnacentral:rRNA from 1 species
CCUACGGGAGGCAGCAGUGGGGAAUAUUGGUCAAUGGGCGAAAGCCUGAACCAGCAAUGCCGCGUGAGUGAUGAAGGCCUUCGGGUUGUAAAGCUCUGUCAGGGGGAACGAAAAAGUCGUCUAACUAACGAUAUUGACGGUACCCUCAAAGGAAGCACCGGCUAACUCUGUGCCAGCAGCCGCGGUAAUACAGAGGGUGCAAGCGUUGUUCGGAAUUACUGGGCGUAAAGCGCGUGUAGGCGGUUUGGUAAGUCAGACGUGAAAUCCCUCGGCUCAACUGAGGAACUGCGUCUGAUACUGCUAGACUAGAGUGUCGGAGGGGAUGGUGGAAUUCCCGGUGUAGAGGUGAAAUUCGUAGAGAUCGGGAGGAACACCUGUGGCGAAGGCGACCAUCUGGAAGACAACUGACGCUGAGACGCGAAAGCGUGGGUAGCAAACAGGAUUAGAUACCCUGGUAGUCCACGCCGUAAACGAUGAGUGCUAGGUGUUGUGGGUAUUGACCCCCGCAGUGCCAAAGCUAACGCGUUAAGCACUCCGCCUGGGGAGUACGGUCGCAGAUUAAAACUUAAGGAAUUGACGG